rnacentral:tRNA from 1 species
GGGGGCAUGGGGUAGCCUGGUCUAGCCUUCAAGGUUCGGGACCUUGAGACCUGGGACAUAGCAGGAAUUCAAAUCCCAGUGCCCCCA